ensembl:rRNA 5S_rRNA 5S ribosomal RNA
CACUACGGCCAUGCCACCCUGAACACACCUGAUCCCACCUGAUCUUGGAAGCUAAGCAGGGUUGGACCUGGUUAGUACUUGGAUGGGAGACCACCUAGGAAGACCACCUAGGAAGAAGCAAAGA